GUGGAGAUAUAGCUCAGUGUUAAGAGUUCUUGCUUAGGCAAGUGCAAGGCCCUGGGUUCAAUUCCCAGCACUACA
rnacentral:tRNA from 1 species